GACGGAGGGUGCAAACGUUGUUCGGAAUCACUGGGCAUAAAGCGCACGUAGGCGGCACACUAAGUCAGGUGUGAAAGCCCCCGGCUUAACCGGGGAACGGCUCCUGAUACUGGUGUGCUAGAGGACGGUUGGGGUGAGUGGAACUCCUGGUGGAGCGGUGAAAUGCGUAGAUAUCAGGAGGAACACCGGUGGCGAAAGCGGCUCACUGGACCGUUUCUGACGCUGAGGUGCGAAAGCUAGGGUAGCGAACGGG
rnacentral:rRNA from 1 species